rnacentral:rRNA from 1 species
GUCGAGGGGCAGCAUCAUCAAAGCUUGCUUUGAUGGAUGGCGACCGGCGCACGGGUGAGUAACACGUAUCCAACCUGCCGACAACACUGGGAUAGCCUUUCGAAAGAAAGAUUAAUACCGGAUGGCAUAAUUAUUCCGCAUGGGAUAAUUAUUAAAGAAUUUCGGUUGUCGAUGGGGAUGCGUUCCAUUAGGCAGUUGGCGGGGUAACGGCCCACCAAACCUACGAUGGAUAGGGGUUCUGAGAGGAAGGUCCCCCACAUUGGAACUGAGACACGGUCCAAACUCCUACGGGAGGCAGCGGUGAGGAAUAUUGGUCAAUGGACGAGAGUCUGAACCAGCCAAGUAGCGUGAAGGAUGACUGCCCUAUGGGUUGUAAACUUCUUUUAUACGGGAAUAAAGUUAGCCACGUGUGGCUUUUUGUAUGUACCGUAUGAAUAAGGAUCGGCUAACUCCGUGCCAGCAGCCGCGGUAAUACGGAGGAUCCGAGCGUUAUCCGGAUUUAUUGGGUUUAAAGGGAGCGUAGGCGGGUUGUUAAGUCAGUUGUGAAAGUUUGCGGCUCAACCGUAAAAUUGCAGUUGAUACUGGCGACCUUGAGUGCAACAGAGGUAGGCGGAAUUCGUGGUGUAGCGGUGAAAUGCUUAGAUAUCACGAAGAACUCCGAUUGCGAAGGCAGCUUACUGGAUUGUAACUGACGCUGAUGCUCGAAAGUGUGGGUAUCAAACAGGAUUAGAUACCCUGGUAGUCCACACAGUAAACGAUGAAUACUCGCUGUUGGCGAUAUACGGUCAGCGGCCAAGCGAAAGCAUUAAGUAUUCCACCUGGGGAGUACGCCGGCAACGGUGAAACUCAAAGGAAUUGACGG